CACCAGGAGACGAUGGAAGGUCUAUAGUGUUACAGCUCUGACCCAGGAAGUCCCAGGGUCUUGCCUUCCAGAAGGGUCGCGGCUCUUCCCUCCCUCAGUCCAACGAACAGGAGCACGUCACCUCCCGCAGCUCGGGGAGCUGGCCAGGAACGUGUUACAGCCCGUUUCGCUCCUGUCCGCAGCUGGGUGAGGCAGCCAGGAAAAUAUUACAGCUCUUCUCACGCCCGCCAUUCAGCAGGUCCUGACUUCUUGUGUGACAUCCAGAAGAAAGGGGUUACACAGACAGCUGGAGGGUGAGCAAAGUGGAGAAGUUCUCAGCAGAGAGGAGACUGGAGUGAGUUGCCCCUACCCGCAGGUGCCAACUGUAAUACAUCAGUAGCUGAACAGCUCAUUGCCCUCAAGUGUUCUUGCUCAUGCCUGGCUGAGUUAUUGAAGAAAUUGCUCAGAUCUCAAGCCCUUGUAGAUCACUGGUCCUGGCAGAUGUUGUCUCUCACUUGGCGGAAUAAUAUCUUCAAAGCUUUGAUUAUCUAAUCACAACUCUACAUUUUAGUGGAGCAAGCCUGGUAUGCAACACAGCAGGGUUUUUAAAGACUUCAAUAUGAUGUCCUUCCACAGGAGAAGAUUGUU
rnacentral:lncRNA from 1 species